UCUCUAGGAGACAUCUGAAGGAGAUUAAAGAUUUAUCGGUGAUGGAUGGGGAUGCGUCUGAUUAGCUUGUUGGCGGGGUAACGGCCCACCAAGGCUACGAUCAGUAGGGGUUCUGAGAGGAAGGUCCCCCACAUUGGAACUGAGACACGGUCCAAACUCCUACGGGAGGCAGCAGUGAGGAAUAUUGGUCAAUGGGCGAGAGCCUGAACCAGCCAAGUAGCGUGCAGGAUGACGGCCCUAUGGGUUGUAAACUGCUUUUAUAAGGGAAUAAAGUGAGUCUCGUGAGACUUUUUGCAUGUACCUUAUGAAUAAGGACCGGCUAAUUCCGUGCCAGCAGCCGCGGUAAUACGGAAGGUCCGGGCGUUAUCCGGAUUUAUUGGGUUUAAAGGGAGCGUAGGCCGGAGAUUAAGCGUGUUGUGAAAUGUAGACGCUCAACGUCUGCACUGCAGCGCGAACUGGUUUCCUUGAGUACGCACAAAGUGGGCGGAAUUCGUGGUGUAGCGGUGAAAUGCUUAGAUAUCACGAAGAGCUCCGAUUGCGAAGGCAGCUCACUGGAGCGCAACUGACGCUGAAGCUCGAAAGUGCGGGUAUCGAACAGGAUUAGAUACCCUGGUAGUCCGCACGGUAAACGAUGGAUGCCCGCUGUUGGUCUGAAUAGGUCAGCGGCCAAGCGAAAGCAUUAAGCAUCCCACCUGGGGAGUAC
rnacentral:rRNA from 1 species